UUUGUUAGAUGGCUGAGGUUAUAAGCGAUAGACUGUAGAUCUAUUAACGGAGUUAAAUCUCCUCAACAAAU
rnacentral:tRNA from 1 species